rnacentral:rRNA from 1 species
UACGUAGGGUGCAAGCGUUGUCCGGAAUUAUUGGGCGUAAAGAGCUCGUAGGCGGUCUGUUACGUCGGCUGUGAAAACCUGGGGCUCAACCCCGGGCCUGCAGCCGAUACGGGCAGACUAGAAUUCGGUAGGGGAGACUGGAAUUCCUGGUGUAACGGUGAAAUGCGCAGAUAUCAGGAGGUACACCGAUGGCGAAGGCAGGUCUCUGGGCUGACACUGACGCUCAUGCACGAAAGCGUGGGGAGCAAACAGG